AUUGAACGCUGGCGGCGUGCUUUACACAUGCAAGUCGAACGGCAGCAUGGGAGCUUGCUCCUGAUGGCGAGUGGCGAACGGGUGAGUAAUGCAUCGGAACGUGCCUUAUAGAGGUGGAUAACCCAUUGAAAGAUGGGCCAAUACAGCAUGCACUCUGAGGAGUAAAGAUGGGGAUUCUGUGAUGGGACCUGUAGCUAUAAGAGCGGCCGAUGUGCAAUUAGCUAGUUGGUUAGGUAAGAGCUGACCAAGGCGAUGAUUGCUAGCUGUUCUGAGAGGAAGAUCAGCCACACUGGGACUGAGACACGGCCCAGACUCCUACGGGAGGCAGCAGUGGGGAAUUUUGGACAAUGGGGGCAACCCUGAUCCAGCAACGCCGCGUGAAUGAAGAAGGCCUUAGGGUUGUAAAGUUCUUUUGUUGGGGAAGAAAAGUUUGAUAUGAAUAGUAUUGAAUCUUGACGGUACCUGAAGAAUAAGCACCGGCUAACUACGUGCCAGCCGCCGCCGUAA
rnacentral:rRNA from 1 species